UUGUGAGAAGCCGAUUCACACGCUCUCUUGCGGGUGAUGGUUCUCUGACUCCUUGCUUUUUCAAGGUUGCUAACUCUUCUUUCAAUGUUGUCCAUGAAGUUAACCAACCUUGCUUCUAGAUUAGGAGAGAUGGAUGUCCUAGGGGGCAGAUCAGUUUGGGCAUCCUCGAACCUUUCAACUUGCAUGUUUGGUUGAGGAUGCUCAGCUUGUGCCCCAUCGGGUACCACUGAGGAUUUACCCUUGUUUCUCAGAUGGUAAUCGUGCUUUUGCCUUUCAGAUGUCAUAGAUGACAAAAGCGAAUUCCAACCGGAGCGUAGGUAUUAAUUGGACUAACUCAAAAGAAACCCAGUGGAG
rnacentral:lncRNA from 1 species